AGCUUGGUGAGCUUGAUGCGUCGUUAUCAGGUCGGUAUUUUCGUUGGCGGUGUCGUGCGGGUGUUGAGGGUUGGGUUGGUGCCGGUCCUCCUGCAGCGGUUGUAAGGACUGCUGUGACUGCUGCUGUAGCCCCUUGGCCGGCACCGCCGCAAGGUCAGAUCUGGGGUUGCCGCCACCGCCACUGGGAGCAGCACGUGCGGAUGCAGCGGC
rnacentral:lncRNA from 1 species